ACAGCUAAAGGUUCCUAUCUAGCAAAAAAAUACUUCAGUGGCCCUCAGAGGCCUCUCUCUCUCAGUUGUUUCUUUCCCUCCCCUCUGCUCAGGAUAAGACCAGAGCCAAAUGUGUGGUCCCAUGGAUGAUUGCCUGAUCUGAUUGCUGGUGCCAGCAGGACCCUAAAGUUUAAAUGACAGCCAUGGGAUCAGAGGAAAUUAAUAGUCACCUUUCUCCUCUCACCACCCACAACAAAGUGCUGAGGGUUGAGUCCAUUAGCUAAAUGACACCAUGAAUUCUGUGAAGAGAUGAAAUUUUAUUUUAAAAGCCCCAGUCUCUUUUUCACUUUGGGUUUUUGUGAUUCUCUUAUAUCACACCACGCAACAGGCAAGCUGCUUUGGAUUCUGUAUUUCCAGGAGUGACACUGAUUUCAGGAACAUUCCAAGAAGAGCUACCUCACAGAUGAUCAGCUGCAUGAGAACUUCUGAGUGAAAUAUCCAGACCUUGUGCAUCUUAGGAUUGAUGGCUUAAGGAGGAAUACACCAAGUGCUAGGAUAGUGUGGGAAGAAGAUAAAUUGAAAAUCAGACAGUAAGAAAAAGAGAAGGCAUUUUUACUGCACUAUGUUUAUAACUUGUACUCUCUCAGAUACUAAAAAUCCACUGUUUUACUCACAUGUCUGUAAGACAUUAUAGUUUGCCAUGCAUGUCAUGUGCAGUUAUUAAUGUAAUAGCUUCCUCAAGCAAAUGUCUCCUGAAAUUCAGGUUUAGAGUUGCCUGUAAAUUGCAACAAAAUGGAAGAUUUAAUAAAA